GCCUACCCUUCUUCUCCAUCAUUCUCCAUUUUCCUUAAAUUCUACUCCAUACACUAACUUGGCCUCACAAAGUUUUACCUUUUUUGUUCUGUUUUUAGUUUCUUGACUAUCUUCAAUGGCUAAGUUAAUUGUAGAAGUUCUUGAUGCAAGUGAUCUGAUGCCUAAAGAUGGACAAGGUUCAGCAAGUCCUUUUGUUGAAGUAGAUUUUGAUGAGCAACGUCAAAGAACUCAAACUAAAAACAAAGAUCUCAACCCUCAAUGGAAUGAAAAGCUUGUUUUCAACAUCAAGAAUCCAAGAGACCUUGAAAAUCAGACUAUCUCUGUUUAUGUUUAUAAUGACCAAAAACAGGGACAUCACAAGAAUUUUCUCGGUCGUGUCAAGAUUUCUGGUGCUUUUAUCCCCUUUUCUGAUUCUGAAGCUUUAGUUCAGAGAUACCCACUUGAUAAAAGAGGAAUAUUUUCACAUAUUAAAGGGGAUAUUGCUUUAAGAAUCUAUGCUGUUCUUGCUGGUGGUGGUGGUGGUGUUGCUGAUGUCAUUCCGCCGCCGGUGUCGGUGGAAACUGAGCAGCAGAAUGUGAAUAAUGGUGAAGAUAGAGCAACCCCUUUUACUCCAUUUCAAGAAACUAGCACCAACAACUUUGAAGAACAGUACAUGAAGGAGACUGAAAUCAAGAAGAAGGAUAAGAAGAAGAAGAAAGAAUCAGAGGUAAGAACUUUUCAUUCUAUUCCUGCACCGGCGCCGGUACCAGUGCCGGCGUCUGGCCCAUCACCACCUCCGGUGGUGAUAGAGAGAAGGGCUGACUUUGCAAAGGCUGGUGGACCAAUGGCUAGCAAUGUAAUGCAGAUGCAAAUGGGUGGUGGUCCAAGGCCUGAAUUUGGUUUAGUGGAAACAAGGCCACCUUUGGCUGCAAGAAUGGGGUAUUGGGGUAGAGAUAAAACUGCUAGUACUUAUGAUUUGGUGGAGCAAAUGCAAUUUUUGUAUAUUAAUGUUGUCAAAGCUAGGGAUCUUCCAGUUAUGGAUAUAUCAGGGAGUCUUGAUCCUUAUGUUGAGGUGAAACUUGGUAAUUACAAAGGUGUUACAAGGCAUUUUGAAAAGAAUCAAUACCCUGUAUGGAAUAGUGUUUUUGCUUUUUCUAAAGAAAGACUGCAGUCUAAUUUGAUUGAAGUCACUGUAAAAGAUAAGGAUUUUGGGAAAGAUGAUAUUGUUGGCAAAGUUAUGUUUGAUAUUGCUGAAGUCCCUCUUCGUGUUCCACCAGAUAGUCCUUUAGCUCCCCAAUGGUAUAGGUUGAUCAAUAAGAAAGGAGAGAAGAUUCCACAAGGUGAAAUCAUGCUUGCUGUUUGGAUGGGAACUCAAGCU
rnacentral:misc_RNA from 1 species